rnacentral:rRNA from 1 species
UACAGAGGCCCCGAGCGUUAAUCGGAAUUACUGGGCUUAAAGGGUGCGUAGGCGGACCAGAAAGUGCUUUGUGAAAGCCCCCGGCUCAACCGGGGAACUGCGGGGCAUACUGCUGGUCUUGAGGCAAGUAAGGGUUGCGAGAACUGUAGGUGGAGCGGUGAAAUGCGUAGAUAUCUACAGGAAUGCCGAUGGUGAAGACGCGCAACUGGGCUUGUCCUGACGCUGAGGCACGAAAGCGUGGGGAGCAAAC